CUGAGAAUGCUCAGUGCUUUUUUGAAAUAGCUAGUCUUUCCAGAUGCUCUGAAGUGCCUGAUAUAUGUUAAAAGUAGAGGUAGUAAAAUAUCACAUUU